UACGUAGGGGGCAAGCGUUGUCCGGAAUCAUUGGGCGUAAAGAGCGCGUAGGCGGUCCGGUAAGUCCGCUCUGAAAGUCCGGGGCUCAACCCCGGGAGGCGGGCGGAUACUGUCGGGCUAGAGUCCGGAAGAGGCGAGUGGAAUUCCUGGUGUAGCGGUGAAAUGCGCAGACAUCAGGAGGAACACCGAUGGCGAAGGCAGCUCGCUGGGACGGUACUGACGCUGAGGCGCGAAAGCGUGGGGAGCAAACAGG
rnacentral:rRNA from 1 species